rnacentral:rRNA from 1 species
AUGGCUGAACCGAGCAUCCUCCUGGCGGCUCCCAGUGAGACUGUCCUCGCAGCGGCCACGGCUCGAUGGUUCACCCCCGUGCGCAUGGUGGCUGCGCCUGUGGCGGAUGUGGCCGCUGCCAUGGCCGGCGCCAGACCUGGUCGAUCUCCCUCUUCUGUAUUUGAGAAAAAAGAGAUCUCCCUCUUCUCUUCUGAUGAGAAGGGGAAGAGAUGGCCACACAUGAUUACAAUCCUUUUUGUGUGCAAGUCAAGCUUAUCUAGUUUACACAGUGCAUCGUUCAAGCCAAGCAAGCAGUGGUCAAUACAAAUCCACCAUGCCCUCCUUGCUAUCGUGGCGACCACCGCCACAACUGCAGUUAGAGUUCCAGUGCCACAAUUGCAGCCACAAAAUCCAUCUCAGCAACAACCACAAGAGCAACCAUAUCCGCAGCCGCAACUAUUUCCUCCAAAACUACCAUAUCCGCAGCCGCAACCAUUUACACCACAUCAAUCAUAUCCACAACCACAACCACAGUAUCCGCAACCACAACAAGCAAUUUCGCAGCAACAAGGACAACAACAACAACAACAACAAAUCCUUCAACAAAUUCUGCAACAACAACUGAUUCCAUGCAGGGAUGUCGUCUUGCAACAACCCAACAUAGCACAUGCAAGCUCACAAGUAUCUCAACAAAGUUACCAUCUAUUGCAACAAUUAUGUUGUCAGCAACUGUGGCAGACCCCCGAGCUGUCACAGUGCCAAGUCUUCUACCAGCAGCCUCAGCAACAAUAUCCAUCAGGCCACGGCUCCUUCCAGCCAUCUCAGCAAAACCCACAGACCCAGGGCUUUGUCCAACCUCAGCAACUGCUGCAGUUUGAGGAAAUAAGGAACGUAGCGCUGCAGACACUACCAGCAAUGUGCAAUGUCUACAUCCCUCCAUAUUGCUCGACCACCAUUGCGCCAUUUGGCAUCGUGAGUACUAACUGA